UCCCACUUCAAAUUAUACUUAAACAGCCCAAUCCCAAAUGGAACAGCCUAACUCACGCUUCCCUCUCUUCGUCAUUUUCUGAGAGACUAAAUCCCAAAUUCUUAAUCGGCGCAUCCCUACUCUCUCCUCCUUCAAUCUCACUCCCUGAAUUGGGGAACCCCAGCCUCUGAAUCGCCUUGCUUCUCCUCUCUCGACUGUUACUCUCUUUCUCUCGGUGGAGGCCUGUCAAGGAAGCAGGCUUGCAGCCGAUAUAUUGGGGCGUCGGCUAGUCCCAGUGCGAAGCUAUUAUUGUGCCUUGGGAUGUUCUAGUGAUGUGGCAGUGCAGUGGGAUGUCCUAGUAACGUGGCAGGAGGUGUUUUUGGGAUGGCCUAGUGCUAGGCUAUUGGGAUGUCCGCCCUAUCGUGGAUGCUCUUAUGAUGCCUAGGUGCCGUUUGGGUGAUUGCAAGCAACGCGCCACCUUCAUUUUGAGGAUCAGCAAACAGAAAACUCUUCCCUUCGAAGAUAGCUCCGCCGGGUCCGAUAAAAACAGGCUUCCCCCAUCCGAAAUCCGCUUCAUAGAACGGCAGCCUAAGCCAG